rnacentral:lncRNA from 1 species
GAGGUUUCUGGCUGCAGGUGAUUUAUCAGGUGCCACUGCUUUGUGCCUUCCACAACAUCCCUCUUGUAGUCGCUGUCGUUGUCGCUGUCGGUGGGCCGAUAAUAGAUGUAGAAGCCUUGGAUGGGGGUGUUGUUGUUGCUUGACGUAAUGUACGUCCACUUCAACAUGAUCUGAGUGUCACUGAUGGCUUCAGUGUAAGCAAUGUGGGGCCCGGCGAUGGGGCGGCUGGAGAAGCGCUGGGUGAAGCCUGCGACCUGGU